AGCAAUAUGUAGGUCAAGCUAAGACUUACAGAAUCGCUGAGAGGAGGUGCAUGGCCGUCGUCAGUUCGUACUGUGAAGCAUCCUGUUAAGUCAGGCAACGAGCGAGACCCGUGCCCACUGUUGCCAGCAUGUCCUUCGGGAUGAUGGGUACGUCUGUGGGGACCGCCGAUGCUAAAUCGGAGGAAGGUGCGGGCUACGGUAGGUCAGUAUGCCCCGAAUCUCCCGGGCUACACGCGGGCUACAAUGACUGGGACAAUGGGCUCCUACCCCCGAAAGGGGAUGGUAAUCUCAUAAACCCAGCCUUAGUUCGGAUCGAGGGCUGUAACCCGCCCUCGUGAAGCUGGAAUCCGUAGUAAUCGCGUUUCAACAUAGCGCGGUGAAUACGUCCCUGCUCCUU
rnacentral:rRNA from 1 species